ACCUUGGUUGCUUAGUGGUCAAAGUACGGAUUUGAAGCUUCCGAGAUGAGAGUUCAAUUCUCUCCCAGGGUA